rnacentral:rRNA from 1 species
UUGAACGCUGGCGGCAGGCCUAACACAUGCAAGUCGAGCGGAUGAGAAGAGCUUGCUCUUCGAUUCAGCGGCGGACGGGUGAGUAAUGCCUAGGAAUCUGCCUGGUAGUGGGGGACAACGUUUCGAAAGGAACGCUAAUACCGCAUACGUCCUACGGGAGAAAGCAGGGGACCUUCGGGCCUUGCGCUAUCAGAUGAGCCUAGGUCGGAUUAGCUAGUUGGUGAGGUAAUGGCUCACCAAGGCGACGAUCCGUAACUGGUCUGAGAGGAUGAUCAGUCACACUGGAACUGAGACACGGUCCAGACUCCUACGGGAGGCAGCAGUGGGGAAUAUUGGACAAUGGGCGAAAGCCUGAUCCAGCCAUGCCGCGUGCGUGAAGAAGGUCUUCGGAUUGUAAAGCACUUUAAGCUGGGAGGAAGGGCAUUAACCUAAUACGUUAGUGUUUUGACGUUACCGACAGAAUAAGCACCGGCUAACUCUGUGCCAGCAGCCGCGGUAAUACAGAGGGUGCAAGCGUUAAUCGGAAUUACUGGGCGUAAAGCGCGCGUAGGUGGUUUGUUAAGUUGGAUGUGAAAGCCCCGGGCUCAACCUGGGAACUGCAUCCAAAACUGGCAAGCUAGAGUACGGUAGAGGGUGGUGGAAUUUCCUGUGUAGCGGUGAAAUGCGUAGAUAUAGGAAGGAACACCAGUGGCGAAGGCGACCACCUGGACUGAUACUGACACUGAGGUGCGAAAGCGUGGGGAGC